rfam:Triticum aestivum genome assembly, contig: Triticum_aestivum_CS42_TGACv1_scaffold_220627_3B
CACAUACUCCCUCCGUCCCAAAAAAAUUGUCUUAGAUUUGUCUAAAUAUGGAUGUAUCAAGUCACGUUUUAGUAUUAGAUACAUCUAUAUCUAGACAAAUUUAAGACAAAUAUUUUGGUACAGAGGAAGUAUUUA